rnacentral:rRNA from 1 species
AACGAACGCUGGCGGCAGGCUUAACACAUGCAAGUCGAACGGACGUAGCAAUACGUUAGUGGCAGACGGGUGAGUAACGCGUGGGAAUAUGCCCUUUAGUUCGGAAUAACUCAGGGAAACUUGAGCUAAUACCGGAUAAGCCCGAGAGGGGAAAGAUUUAUCGCUGAAGGAGUAGCCCGCGUCUGAUUAGCUAGUUGGUGAGGUAAUGGCUCACCAAGGCGACGAUCAGUAGCUGGUCUGAGAGGAUGAUCAGCCACACUGGGACUGAGACACGGCCCAGACUCCUACGGGAGGCAGCAGUGGGGAAUAUUGGACAAUGGGGGCAACCCUGAUCCAGCCAUGCCGCGUGAGUGAUGAAGGCCUUAGGGUUGUAAAGCUCUUUUGUUCGGGAAGAUAAUGACUGUACCGGAAGAAUAAGCCCCGGCUAACUUCGUGCCAGCCGCCGCGGUAA